CCUACGGGUGGCUGCAGUGGGGAAUAUUGGACAAUGGGGGCAACCCUGAUCCAGCCAGGCCGCGUGUGUGAAGAAGGCCCUCGGGUUGUAAAGCACUUUCAGUGAGGAAGAACGCCUGGUGGUUAAUACCCAUCAGGAAAGACAUCACUCACAGAAGAAGCACCGGCUAACUCCGUGCCAGCAGCCGCGGUAAUACGGAGGGUGCGAGCGUUAAUCGGAAUUACUGGGCGUAAAGCGCGCGUAGGUGGCUUGAUAAGCCGGUUGUGAAAGCCCCGGGCUCAACCUGGGAACGGCAUCCGGAACUGUCAAGCUAGAGUGCAGGAGAGGAAGGUAGAAUUCCCGGUGUAGCGGUGAAAUGCGUAGAGAUCGGGAGGAAUACCAGUGGCGAAGGCGGCCUUCUGGACUGACACUGACACUGAGGUGCGAAAGCGUGGGUAGCAAACAGGAUUAGAUACCCCUGUAGUC
rnacentral:rRNA from 1 species